GCUAACUACGUGCCAGCAGCCGCGGUAAUACGUAGGGGUCGAGCGUUGUCCGGAGUUACUGGGCGUAAAGCGCGUGCAGGUGGCUCAUUACGCCCGGCGUGAAAGCCCCCGGCUUAACCGGGGAGGGUCGUCGGGGACGGGUGAGCUUGAGGGUCGCAGGGGCUGGUGGAAUUCCCGGUGUAGUGGUGAAAUGCGUAGAGAUCGGGAGGAACACCCGUGGCGAAGGCGGCCAGCUGGGCGACACCUGACACUGAGACGCGAAGGCGUGGGGAGCGAACGGGAUUAGAUACCCCUGUAGUC
rnacentral:rRNA from 1 species